UACGGGGGGGGCAAGCGUUGUUCGGAAUUACUGGGCGUAAAGGGCUCGUAGGCGGCCAACUAAGUCAGACGUGAAAUCCCUCGGCUUAACCGGGGAACUGCAUCUGAUACUGGAUGGCUUGAGAUUGGGAGAGGGAUGCGGAAUUCCAGGUGUAGCGGUGAAAUGCGUAGAUAUCGGGAGGAACACCAGUGGCGAAGGCGGCACUCUGGGCCAGUACUGACACUGAGGAGCGAAAGCGUGGGGAGCGAACAGG
rnacentral:rRNA from 1 species